GUUGUUCUGGUCCUUCUCCUUGUUUUCUCCUUCUUGUUCUUUGUGUUCUUGUUCUCCUUCUUCUUGUUCUUCUCAUUCUUCUUGUCCUUUCUCUUUAUCUUGUUGUUCUUCUUGUCCUUGUUCUUGUUGUUCUUCUUAUUCAUGUUCUCCUUCGUCUUGUUUUUUUUGUUCUUCCUGUUCUUCAUGUUAUUGUUCUUUAUGUUCUUCUUGUUCUCCUUCUUUUUGUUCUAUUUGUUCUUGUUGUUCUCGUUCUUCUAGUCCUUGUUCUUGUUGUUCUUAUUCUUGUUCUUCUUGUUCUUUUUGUUCUUCUUGUUCUUAUUUUUCUUCUCAUUCUUCUUGUUCUUUGUGUUCUUGUUCUUUAUGUUCUUGUUCUCCUUUUUGUUCUGUUUGUUCUCGUUCUUCUUGUCCUUGUUCUUGUUGUUAUCCUUCUUGUUCUUCUCAUUCUUCUUGUUCUUUAUGUUCUUCUUGUUCUCCUUAUUCUUCUUCUUCUCAUUCUUCUUGUCCUUCCUCUUUAUCCUGUUGUUCUUCUUGUCCUUGUUAUUGUUGUUCUUCUUAUUCUUGUUCUCCUUCUUCUUGUUCUUCUCAUUCUUCUUGUUCUUUAUGUUCUUCUUGUUCUUCUUUUUGUUCUUGUUGUUCUCAAUCUUCUUGUCCUUGUCCUUGUUGUUUUUCUUCUUGUUGUUGUUCUUCUUCUUGUUCUUCAUGUUCUUCUUAUUCCCCUUCUUUUUGUUCUUUUUGUUCUUGUUCUCGUUCUUCUUGUCCUCAUUCUUAUUGUUCUUCUUAUUCUUGUUCUCCUUCUUGUUAUUUUUGUUCUUCUCCUUCUUUUUCUUCUCAUUCCUCUUGUUCUUUAUGUUCUUCUUGUUCUCCUUGUUCUUCUUGUUCUUUAUGUUCUUCUUGUUCUUGUUUUUCUCAUUCUUCUUGUCCUUGUUCUUGUUGUUCUUCUAAUUCUUGUUCUCCUUCUUCUUGUUCUUCAUGUUCUUGUUCUUUAUGUUCUUCUUGUUCUCCUCUUUCUUGUUCUUCUCACUCUUAUGUCCUUCCUCUUUAUCCUGUGUUCUUCUUCUUGUCCUUGUUCUUUUUGUUCUUCUUAUUCUUGUUCUCCUGCUUGUUCUUUUUGUUCUUCUUGUUCUCCUUCUUCUUGUUCUUUAUGUUCUUCUUGUUCUCCUUCUUCUUGUUCUUCUCAUUCUUCUUGUCCUUCCUCUUUAUCCUGUGGUUCUUCUUAUCCUUGUUCUUGUUGUUCUUCUUAUUCUUGUUCUCCUUCUUGUUCUUUUUGUUCUUCUUGUUCUCCUUCUUCUUGUUCUUCAUAUUCUUGUUCUUUAUGUUCUUCUUGUUCUUCUUUUUGUUCUGUUUCUUCUUGUUCUUCUUGUUCUUGUUCUUGUUUUUCUUAUUCUUGUUCUCCUUCUUCUUGUUCUUCAUGUUCUUGUUCUUUAUGUUCUUCUUGUUCUCCUCUUUCUUGUUCUUCUCAUUCUUUUGAACUUCCUCAUUAAACUGUAGUCUCUUCUUCCUGUCCAUGUACAUUUUGCACUUCCU
rnacentral:lncRNA from 1 species